rnacentral:rRNA from 1 species
AUUGAACGCUGGCGGCAUGCCUUACACAUGCAAGUCGAACGGCAGCAUGGAGAGCUUGCUCUCUGAUGGCGAGUGGCGAACGGGUGAGUAAAGCAUCGGAACGUACCGUGUAGUGGGGGAUAACGUAGCGAAAGUUACGCUAAUACCGCAUACGCACUGAGGUGGAAAGCAGGGGAUCGUAAGACCUUGCGCUAUACGAGCGGCCGAUGUCAGAUUAGCUAGUUGGUAGGGUAAAGGCCUACCAAGGCGAAGAUCUGUAGCGGGGCUGAGGGGAUGAUCCGCCACACUGGGACUGAGACACGGCCCAGAGUCCUACGGGAGACAGCAGUGGGGAAUUUUGGACAAUGGGGGCAACCCUGAUCCAGCCAUGCCGCGUGAGUGAAGAAGGCCUUCGGGUUGUAAAGCUCUUUCGGCCGGGAAGAAAUCGCACAGGCUAAUACCCUGUGUGGAUGACGGUACCGUAAGAAUAAGCACCGGCUAACUACGUGCCAGCCGCCGCAGUAA